AUUGGCCGGCCGCAUAGUUUCUGACUGGAAGAAAGCUGCAUGGUCUCUCAGAGAUGAGGCUGAGGAUAGCAAGGCCGGAGACACCACACUCUUGUCUGGACACAUAUAUAGAAAGAAGUAACAGAAACAACACAUGAAAAAAUGACCUUAACCUGAAGUAAUAUAGAUCUCUGUUCCAGAAAUAGUUGCUGCCUCAAUUAUGUUAGUGCUGGUUAAGAGAACUGCAUAUGGAAAACACAGUCAAAUUACAAAGAAGAAGCUGUUGUUUCAAGUGAAGAUCAUUGUGGUCUUAAAAAUUUACCAAAAUCUUAGCAAAACUUGUGUAAUGAGCUUUUUAUACUUUGACAAGCAUUUGGAGACCAACUGAAUCAAAGUCCAAAUCUCAAAAACAUAUAAUGUGAAGUAUGUAAACCUACAAUCUUUUCUCUCACCUUAAACUGUGAUAGUGGCUUUGCAAUUAGUAAUCAGUUGGUACAUGUUUUGUUUUUUAUUGCUCUCUACAUGCAAACACUGUUUCUGGAUGAUAUUCCCAUAUUUCUUUUAUGUCCUCAAACAUACUAAGCAAAUCAACAGUUAAACUCCUUUCUCACACCACAAAUCCAAUGUUCUGAGUGACCCUUUAUUGUACAAAUGAUUACAGAUUCUUAUGUUUUUGACACUAUGAUCCAAUUAACACCUGGUGUUAACAUGCAAUCUGUAUCUGGAUAUCUUAAAGAAAAUAAUGGAAGUGCAGGUGUAAAUUCAUGCAGAACCAAACAGAAAUCAGGCUCACACUCUGAUGUCAGCCAGGUUUAAAAGCAGUGUUACCACAUUCUAAAGAAAAAAAACAUCUUGAUAUGUCACCUAGCUUGACUUCUUCCUGCUAUCUUGACCUGCAUGUUCCUUGGAAAAGUAAAAAUAAGUAGAGCCCAAAUAUCAGCAGCACUUAAGGAGAACCUUUAGGAACUGCUAUGACCUGCAAGAUGAUGGUCAUGUGACUGAUGGCGGUAGCACACUGCUUUCUUAAACCUUAAAAUCAUUACACAAGAUGCUUCACAAUAUAUUUUGAUUUAAAUGUUGCAUUAGAUGGAAUAAGAGACUGCCUUCAGCCAGCAGAGACCAGCAUGCAUUUCUUCAACUUCUGGUCUGAAUGAAGAGUCCAGGACCAGAUGUGCUGCAACAAAACAUUGUACAACCAAACAUUAUACAACCUGCUUUAAUAUGCUUGGAGAUGGACACAAGUGACACCUUUUAAUAGUAGAUACUGCACUGCCCAUUUUAGAUGUAACUUUGUCUUUAUGACCAGACCAAGACAUUUCCUCAUAUAAUACCCUGGAGCUUAGUUUGUUAGGACUUAAGAACAUUAGAACCAUUCGGUUUGCUUAUUUCUAUUAUAUUCAUCCAUACUGGAGUGUGAUGCCACUCCAUGCUACCUAAGAGGGAAUGAACAAUGAGCUCCUGUCGUUCCACGCAGAACAAGUAUGGAGCUUUACUUCUGCAAUGUGCAUCAACACACAUAUUUCAUUCUUAUAUGUAUAGAUUGAGGACAGAAGUACAUUAACUGAUUGAAAUCCUGUGUUUGUAAAACUGGACAAGAGAGUUUUAAAAGUUCAGUUAAGUCUGAUCUUAGAUGUGUACACGCGUUGGUGAAUGUACAACGAUGCCAAGGUCGACUGUUGGAAAGGUAUGCAAGUUCACACACACACACACACACACACACACACACACACACACACACACACACACACACACACACACACAGACACAUAAUGCUUCCCCCAUUAGCCUGUCAACACAAAGCUGGCUUGUUUUACAGUACAUUAGGCACUGCAAAUCAAUUACCUUGCAUUUACAGUUAAUUGGCCUGUAUUCUUGGCUCUGUUAACUGAUAUCUGGCUGGACUCAAUGGGUCUGUGUUGGAAAGGCUACAAAUAACGAUGCGUUGUUGUGUCUGUAUGAGAACAAAUACUCAUGUUCAGGUGUUCAAGUGUAAAUGGCUUACAUUCAGUUAGUCAGACAUGGCUGCAUUUCCACGUACAAAUAAUGCCACUGUUUGCAAUUCUGAAAGUCCAGAAAAACUUUUAUAAGCUGUUUACGUGAUUGCGUAACCUGACAAUAUCCCAUGAUUAUGAUGUGAUUCAAGUAGUAAGUAUAUACCAGCAAGUCAUUGUGAUGUGCUUACAAAGUCUUGAACUCCUAUGCUGCUAUGCUAUUCAAGGCUGUUAUCCUUUAUAUUUAAAUCUGAAGGAACUGGAUCAAUUUCUGCUUGUGUCUGUAAAAAAUAUAGUUUGUGUGCCUAUAGGUGUAAUCAUUUUGUGUGGAUUCAGUCAGAUUAGAUCAGCCAUUCUCAAUAAAUGGGCUGCAACAACCAGUUCAGGUCUGUGUUGUUUUUCUUGCUACGACAGAUUAGUUAUGCAGAAAACGGCCAAACUUCUCACUAAGUGUGCUGAGAGUGUACUCCCAAGAAAAUAAAGUCAUUUCAGCAAGUGCCCCAAGACAACAUAUGUUUACAUUCAAAUGAAUGUGCCCUCUAGUGGCCAUAGUAAGUACAACAGGAGAAAAGGAAGAAAUCAAGCAACGUUAUUAUAGAGUGACAAAGUAUAGAUAGGGAGGGGGUGGCAGUGGAUGAAUGGAUCAAUAAAAUACUGGACUUUAA